UACGUAGGAGGCGAGCGUUGUCCGGAAUUACUGGGUGUAAAGGGAGCGUAGGCGGGAGAGCAAGUCGACUGUGAAAUCUAUGGGCUUAACCCAUAGCUGCGAUCGAAACUGUUCAUCUUGAGUGAAGUAGAGGCAGGCGGAAUUCCUAGUGUAGCGGUGAAAUGCGUAAAUAUUAGGAGGAACACCAGUGGCGAAGGCGGCCUGCUGGGCUUUAACUGACGCUGAGGCUCGAAAGCGUGGGUAGCAAACAGG
rnacentral:rRNA from 1 species